rnacentral:rRNA from 1 species
AUGUCCUGCUUUGUUUCUCAGACGGUUAGCUACAUGGCGGAGCACGUUGUGGGCACUUCAUUUGGCAUCGUCUUUCAGGCUAAAUGCUUGGAAACUGGGGAGACGGUGGCCAUUAAGAAGGUACUGCAGGACCCACGGUACAAGAACCGGGAGCUGCAGCUUAUGCGUUUGAUUAACCAUUCCAAUGUUGUUCUCCCUCAAGCACUGCUUCUUCUCAACCACAAGGAGUAUGUCCUGGAGACACUCUACCGCAUGCUUAAGAACUACAGUAAUGCCAAACAGGGGAUGCCACUUAUCUACGUCAAGCUUCACACCUAUCAGGGGGCUCGCGUACAUUCAUACUGUUCCUAG